ACUCCUACGGGAGGCAGCAGUGGGGAAUCUUGCACAAUGGAGGAAACUCUGAUGCAGCGACGCCGCGUGAGCGAUGAAGCCCUUCGGGGUGUAAAGCUCUUUCGACGGGAACGAUUAUGACGGUACCCGAAGAAGAAGCUGCGGCUAACUACGUGCCAGCAGCCGCGGUAAUACGUAGGCAGCAAGCGUUGUUCGGAAUUACUGCGCGUAAAGAGUGUGUAGGCGGUGCUCCAAGUCUGGUGUGAAAUCUCCCGGCUCAACUGGGAGGGUGCAUUAGAAACUGGAAUGCUAGAGGAUGGGAGAGGUAAGCGGAAUUCCUGGUGUAGCGGUGAAAUGCGUAGAUAUCAGGAGGAACACCUGUGGUGUAGACAGCUUACUGGACCAUUUCUGACGCUGAGACACGAAAGCGUGGGUAGCAAACAGGAUUAGAUACCCUGGUAG
rnacentral:rRNA from 1 species